CACUCUCUCUCUCUCUCUCUCUCUCUCUCUCUCUCUCUCUCUCUCUCUCUCUCUCUUACUCUCAUCUUCACUACCUGCAGUUCUUCUCUAGCCUAACUUAAUAAACUAAAUAAAAAAUUUAUUAUCUUAUUUUUUUAUUUAGUUCAUUAAGUUAGACUAGAGAAGAACCGUGAGUAUCUAUUUGGAGUACCAUCCCUAUCCUUAGCUACAUUGCUAUAUGCACAUAAGUUAGUUGUCCACAUUUUAGGACCCUUAGCCGCACGUGCUAGUAAAACAUAUCUCCUUUC
rnacentral:lncRNA from 1 species